GAGCGGUGACGUCCUCCCUUGCCUGCCUCCUCAAGUAUUGGCGCAAGAGCAACAUCAUAAGCCUUGGCCGUCCGCGGGUUUCCUGUAUUGCGUACCUACACGAAGGAAUUCGAGUGUCCCAACGUUUAACGUUCUCCUAGUGCCGCCCCGGCAAGGGUGCGGUGUGAGGUGAACCGUGAAGGCAAAUUUGUGUUCCAAGACAAUCGUAGCACACGUUGUUGUUUUGGCCCACGAAGUGCAGCCUGAGCUCUCGGAUGCGGAAUACCAUGAGGGCAGGGGGUCUCGGCCUCCGUGUGCCCACGCUCAGCGUUAAU
rnacentral:misc_RNA from 1 species